AUACAAAUCACUUGGGGAGGUUUUAAAAGGCAGAUUCUGACUCAUGCCUGAGAUUCUGCAUUUCUAACAACUUCCCAGUUGAUGCCAGU
rnacentral:pre_miRNA from 1 species